rnacentral:rRNA from 1 species
UAUAGAGUUUGAUCCCUGGCUCAGGACGAACGCUGGCGGCGUGCCUAAUACAUGCAAGUCGUACGCUUUUUCUUUCACCGGAGCUUGCUCCACCGAAAGAAAAGGAGUGGCGAACGGGUGAGUAACACGUGGGUAACCUGCCCAUCAGAAGGGGAUAACACUUGGAAACAGGUGCUAAUACCGUAUAACAAUCGAAACCGCAUGGUUUUGAUUUGAAAGGCGCUUUCGGGUGUCGCUGAUGGAUGGACCCGCGGUGCAUUAGCUAGUUGGUGAGGUAACGGCUCACCAAGGCCACGAUGCAUAGCCGACCUGAGAGGGUGAUCGGCCACAUUGGGACUGAGACACGGCCCAAACUCCUACGGGAGGCAGCAGUAGGGAAUCUUCGGCAAUGGACGAAAGUCUGACCGAGCAACGCCGCGUGAGUGAAGAAGGUUUUCGGAUCGUAAAACUCUGUUGUUAGAGAAGAACAAGGAUGAGAGUAACUGUUCAUCCCUUGACGGKAUCUAACCAGAAAGCCACGGCUAACUACGUGCCAGCAGCCGCGGUAAUACGUAGGUGGCAAGCGUUGUCCGGAUUUAUUGGGCGUAAAGCGAGCGCAGGCGGUUUCUUAAGUCUGAUGUGAAAGCCCCCGGCUCAACCGGGGAGGGUCAUUGGAAACUGGGAGACUUGAGUGCAGAAGAGGAGAGUGGAAUUCCAUGUGUAGCGGUGAAAUGCGUAGAUAUAUGGAGGAACACCAGUGGCGAAGGCGACUCUCUGGUCUGYAACUGACGCUGAGGCUCGAAAGCGUGGGGAGCAAACAGGAUUAGAUACCCUGGUAGUCCACGCCGUAAACGAUGAGUGCUAAGUGUUGGAGGGUUUCCGCCCUUCAGUGCUGCAGCUAACGCAUUAAGCACUCCGCCUGGGGAGUACGACCGCAAGGUUGAAACUCAAAGGAAUUGACGGGGGCCCGCACAAGCGGUGGAGCAUGUGGUUUAAUUCGAAGCAACGCGAAGAACCUUACCAGGUCUUGACAUCCUUUGACCACUCUAGAGAUAGAGCUUCCCCUUCGGGGGCAAAGUGACAGGUGGUGCAUGGUUGUCGUCAGCUCGUGUCGUGAGAUGUUGGGUUAAGUCCCGCAACGAGCGCA